rnacentral:rRNA from 1 species
UACAUGGGGUGCAAACGUUGCUCGGAAUCAUUGGGCGUAAAGCGCGCGUAGGCGGUUAUUUAAGUUGGAUGUGAAAGCCCUCGGCUUAACUGAGGAAGUGCAUCCAAAACUGAAUAGCUAGAGUACGAAAGAGGGUCGCGGAAUUCCCGGUGUAGAGGUGAAAUUCGUAGAUAUCGGGAGGAACACCGGUGGCGAAGGCGGCGACCUGGGUCGAGACUGACGCUGAGGCGCGAAAGCGUGGGGAGCGAUCCGG